rnacentral:rRNA from 1 species
CAAUAGCGUAUAUUAAAGUUGUUGCAGUUAAAAAGCUCGUAGUUGGAUUUGUGGCGUACGGUGUGUUCCGGGCACUUGUUGUCUGAGUAACCUGCUGUUGCCAUCCUUGGGUGGAACCUGUGUGGCAUUAGGUUGUCGUGCAGGGGAUGCCCAUCAUUUACUGUGAAAAAAUUAGAGUGUUCAAAGCAGGCUUAUGCCGUUGAAUAUAUCAGCAUGGAAUAAUGAGAUAGGACUUUUUUGCUAUUUUGUUGGUUUGCGCAAAGAGGUAAUGAUUAAUAGGGACAGUUGGGGGUAUUCGUAUUCCAUUGCCAGAGGUGAAAUUCUUGGAUUUUUGGAAGACGAACUACUGCGAAAGCAUUUACCAAGGAUGUUUUCAUUAA